UGGGGAAUAUUGGACAAUGGGGGCAACCCUGAUCCAGCCAUGCCGCGUGAGUGAUGAAGGCCUUAGGGUUGUAAAGCUCUUUCGCCGGUGAAGAUAAUGACGGUAACCGGUAAAGAAGCCCCGGCUAACUUCGUGCCAGCAGCCGCGGUAAUACGAAGGGGGCUAGCGUUGUUCGGAAUUACUGGGCGUAAAGCGCGCGUAGGCGGUUUGCCAAGUUGAGGGUGAAAUCCCGGGGCUCAACCCCGGAACUGCCUUCAAAACUGGCCGACUUGAGUCCGGAAGAGGAGAGUGGAAUUCCCAGUGUAGAGGUGAAAUUCGUAGAUAUUGGGAAGAACACCGGUGGCGAAGGCGACUCUCUGGUCCGGUACUGACGCUGAGGUGCGAAAGCGUGGGGAGCAAACAGGAUUAGAUACCCCUGUAGUCC
rnacentral:rRNA from 1 species